GGAUUACCGAGGGGGUGGGCAGGCCGGCGUAGGGUGCAGGAAGAGAGAUCUGUGACCCCAGGCCCAGCUUCCCAGCCGGGCUGUGGCUCCCUCGCCCUCCCUGGGCUCUCGGCAGAGCUUCUGAUCUCUGUGCCCCGAGCAGAGGAGGGGUUCUCCUCCGGCUGCAGCAAUGGAGGGGCCCUGCGCGCCCACUGCCGGCCAGGCCCCUGAGGCCUGCGAGCAGGGCCAGGAAGGACCCCUGCGCUCCAUGGUGGAGGACCUGCAGUCCGAGGAGUCCGACGAGGACGACUCUUCGUCAGGCGAGGAGGCUGCCGGCAAGACCAACCCGGGGAGGGACUCCAGGUUGAGCUUCAGCGACAGCGAGAGUGACAACAGCGCCGACUCCUCCCUGCCCAGCCGUGAGCCCCCACCCCCCCAGAAGCCACCCCCGCCCAACAGCAAGGUGUCAGGCCGGAGGAGCCCCGAGUCCUGCAGCAAGCCUGAGAAGAUCCUCAAGAAGGGCACCUACGACAAGGCCUACACGGAUGAGCUGGUGGAGCUACACCGGAGGCUGAUGGCGCUGCGGGAGCGCAACGUGCUGCAGCAGAUUGUGAAUCUGAUCGAGGAGACUGGCCACUUCAACGUCACCAACACCACC
rnacentral:sRNA from 1 species